rnacentral:rRNA from 1 species
CACCUGGCGCACAUCGCGAGGUAUGUUUAUGCGUGAAAAAAGGGAAACUUACGCUAAUACCGCAUACGACCUUCGGGUGAAAGCAGGGGACCUUGGGGCCUUGCACGGAUAUAUGACCCAAUGUCGGAUUAGCUAGGUGGCGGGGUAAAGGCCCACCAAGGCGACAAUGCGUAGAUGGUCUGAGAGGAUGAUCAGCCACUCUGGAACUGACACACCGCCCACACUCCUACGGGAGGCAGCAUUGGGGAAUAUUGGACAAUGGGCGCAAGCCUGAUCCCGCCAUACCGCGUGGGUGAAGAAGGUCUUCAGGUUGUAAAGCCCUUUUGGUGGGAAAGAAAAUUAAUCCAUUAAUACCCGGUUGUUCCGACGGUACCCAAAGAAUAAGCACCGGCUAACUUCGUGCCAGCAGCUAC